GUGGGGAAUAUUGGGCAAUGGGCGAAAGCCUGACCCAGCAACGCCGCGUGAAGGAAGAAGGUUUUCGGAUCGUAAACUUCUAUCCUUGGUGAAGAUAAUGACGGUAGCCAAGAAGGAAGCCCCGGCUAACUACGUGCCAGCAGCCGCGGUAAUACGUAGGGGGCAAGCGUUGUCCGGAAUGAUUGGGCGUAAAGGGCGCGUAGGCGGCCUGGUAAGUCUGGAGUGAAAGUCCUGCUUUUAAGGUGGGAAUUGCUUUGGAUACUGUCGGGCUUGAGGGAAGGAGAGGUAAGUGGAAGUCCCGGUGUAGCGGUGAAAUGCGUAGAGAUCGGGAGGAACACCAGUGGCGAAGGCGACUUACUGGACUGUAACUGACGCUGAGGCGCGAAAGUGUGGGGAGCAAACAGGAUUAGAAACCCGGGUAGUCC
rnacentral:rRNA from 1 species